UGCGGAAAAUAUUGUUUAUUCUUUACAAGUGGAAUCAAAUAUGGACCAGUGCCUGAUUGUCUAACAAGUGUUGAGUGGGAUAUUUAACUUUUUUAUGGUGUUAAGUUUUAUCUACAGCAUUUGUGGUCCCUCUCUAAUCUUAUUUAUUUUAGGUUGUGUAUUUUUAACCCACUAGUCUAUUAUUAUUUGCAAAACUAACAUCUGUUUUUAAUUUUAUUAUUCUGU